GGUUGAGUGGUAGUUCCUGGUGGUCCUGUUGUUGUUUCAGGUGGUUGAGUGGUAGUUCCUGGUGGUCCUGUUGUUGUUUCAGGUGGUUGAGUGGUAGUUCCUGGAGGUCCUGUUGUUGUUUCUGGAGGUGUGGUGGUAGUUCCUGGGGGCAAUGGUGUUG